rnacentral:rRNA from 1 species
AGAGUUUGAUCCUGGCUCAGGAUGAACGCUAGCGACAGGCCUAACACAUGCAAGUCGAGGGGCAGCAUAAAGGUAGCAAUACUUUGGUGGCGACCGGCGCACGGGUGAGUAACACGUAUGCAACCUACCGUUAACCGGGGGAUAGCCCGUCGAAAGGCGGAUUAAUACCCCAUAAUAUUGGGAUUCUGCAUGGGAUUUCAAUUAAAGCUGAGGUGGUUAACGAUGGGCAUGCGUGACAUUAGCUAGUUGGUAGGGUAACGGCCUACCAAGGCUACGAUGUCUAGGGGUUCUGAGAGGAAGGUCCCCCACACUGGUACUGAGACACGGACCAGACUCCUACGGGAGGCAGCAGUGAGGAAUAUUGGUCAAUGGGCGAGAGCCUGAACCAGCCAUCCCGCGUGCAGGAAGACGGCCCUAUGGGUUGUAAACUGCUUUUGCGCAUGAAGAAUGUUACCGACGUGUCGGUAAGUGACGGUAAUGCGUGAAUAAGCAUCGGCUAACUCCGUGCCAGCAGCCGCGGUAAUACGGAGGAUGCAAGCGUUAUCCGGAUUUAUUGGGUUUAAAGGGUGCGUAGGCGGCCUUGUAAGUCAGUGGUGAAAACCUGCAGCUCAACUGUAGGCGUGCCAAUGAAACUGUGAGGCUUGAGUGACGUUGAGGCAGGCGGAAUGUGUAGUGUAGCGGUGAAAUGCUUAGAUAUUACACAGAACACCGAUUGCGUAGGCAGCUUGCUAAAGGUUAACUGACGCUGAUGCACGAAAGCGUGGGGAUCGAACAGGAUUAGAUACCCUGGUAGUCG